UUGCCCUAGUAACGGCGAGUGAAGCGGCAACAGCUCAAAUUUGAAAUCUGGCCUUCUUUGGGGGUCCGAGUUGUAAUUUGCAGAGGGUGCUUUGGUGUCGGCAGCGGUGUAAGUUCCUUGGAACAGGACGUCACAGAGGGUGAGAAUCCCGUACGUGGUCGCUUGCCUUCGCCGUGUAAAGCCCCUUCGACGAGUCGAGUUGUUUGGGAAUGCAGCUCUAAAUGGGAGGUAAAUUUCUUCUAAAGCUAAAUACUGGCCAGAGACCGAUAGCGCACAAGUAGAGUGAUCGAAAGAUGAAAAGCACUUUGGAAAGAGAGUCAAACAGCACGUGAAAUUGUUGAAAGGGAAGCGCUUGCAGCCAGACUUGCCGGUAGUUGCUCACCCGGACUUUUGCCCGGGGCACUCUUCUGCGGGCAGGCCAGCAUCAGUUUGGGCGACCGGAUAACGGCCUCUGUCAUGUAUCUUCCUUCGGGAUGACCUUAUAGGGGAGGCGUAAUGCGGCCAGCCCGGACUGAGGUCCGCGCUUCGGCUAGGAUGCUGGCGUAAUGGCUGUAAGCGGCCCGUCUUGAAACACGGACCAAGGAGUCUAACAUCUAUGCGAGUGUUUGGGUGUCAAGCCCGGGCGCGUAAUGAAAGUGAACGGAGGUGGGAACCCUUUCGGGGGCGCACCCUCGACCGAUCCUGAUGUCUUCGGAUGGAUUUGAGUAAGAGCAUAGCUGUUGGGACCCGAAAGAUGGUGAACUAUGCUUGAAUAGGGUGAAGCCAGAGGAAACUCUGGUGGAGGCUCGCAGCGGUUCUGACGUGCAAAUCGAUCGUCAAAUUUGGGCAUAGGGGCGAAAGACUAAUCGAACUAUC
rnacentral:rRNA from 1 species